rnacentral:rRNA from 1 species
CCUACGGGUGGCAGCAGUGGGGAAUAUUGCGCAAUGGGCGAAAGCCUGACGCAGCGACGCCGCGUGAGGGAUGAAGGUCUUCGGAUCGUAAACCUCUGUCAGCAGGGAAGAACGGUCACUGUGCUAAUCAGCAGUGAAUUGACGGUACCUGCAAAGGAAGCACCGGCUAACUCCGUGCCAGCAGCCGCGGUAAUACGGAGGGUGCGAGCGUUAAUCGGAAUUACUGGGCGUAAAGCGCUCGUAGGCGGUAUGUCAAGUCAAGGGUGAACUCCCCGCGCUCAACGUGGGAACUGCCUUUGAAACUGGCAAAAUGGAGUGUGUGAGAGGAUAGUGGAAUUCCUGGUGUAGGAGUGAAAUGCGUAGAUAUCUGGAGGAACAUCAGUGGCGAAGGCGGCCUGCUGGACCGCGACUGACGUUGAGGCUCGAAAGCGUGGGGAGCGAACAGGAUUAGAUACCCUAGUAGUC